rnacentral:rRNA from 1 species
UAAGACAGAGGGGGCAAGCGUUGUCCGGAUUGACUGGGCGUAAAGGGUCCGCAGGUGGCUCGGCGCGUGUGGUGUGAAACCUCCCGGCUUAACCGGGAGCCGCCAUCGCAUACGGCCGAGCUUGAGCUUCGCAGAGGUGCGUGGAAUUGCCGGUGUAGUGGUGAAAUGCGUAGAGAUCGGCAGGAACACCAAGGGGGAAGCCAGCGCACUGGGCGAAUGCUGACACUCAGGGACGAGAGCGUGGGGAGCCAACUGGAUUAGAUACCCAGGUCGUCCACGCCGUAAACGAUGGAUGCUCGGCCCGUGGAGCCUAUCAACGGCUCUGGGGGCCUCAGCUUACGCGCAAGCAUCCCGCCUGGGAACUACGAGCGCAAGCUUA